UACGUAGGGGCUAGCGUUAUCCGGAAUUACUGGGCGUAAAGGGUGCGUAGGCGGUCUUUCAAGCCAGAAGUGAAAGGCUACGGCUCAACCGUAGUAAGCUUUUGGAACUGUAAGACUUGAGUGCAGGAGAGGAGAGUGGAAUUCCCAGUGUAGCGGUGAAAUGCGUAGAUAUUGGGAGGAACACCGGUGGCGAAGGCGGCUCUCUGGAAUCCUGCUGACGCUGAGGCGCGAAAGUCGGGGGAGCAAACAGGAUUAGAUACCCCGGUAGUCCCUGAGCGGG
rnacentral:rRNA from 1 species